rnacentral:rRNA from 1 species
GACGAACGCUGGCGGCGUGCCUAAUACAUGCAAGUCGAACGAGAGCGACCGGUGCUUGCACUGGUCAAUCUAGUGGCGAACGGGUGAGUAACACGUGGGUAACCUGCCCAUCAGAGGGGGAUAACAUCCGGAAACGGAUGCUAAAAGCGCAUAGGUCUUCGAACCGCAAGGGUCGAAGGUGAAAAUAGGCGGAAGGUUCUGCUGAUGGAUGGACCCGCGGUGGAUUAGCUAGUUGGUGAGGUAACGGCUCACCAAGGCGGUGAUGGAUAGCCGACCUGAGAGGGUGGUCGGCCACAUUGGGACUGAGACACGGCCCACACUCCUACGGGAGGCCGCGGUAGGGACUCUUCCGCAAUGGACGCAAGUCUGACGGAGCAACGCCGCGUGAGUGAAGAAGGUUCUCGGAUCGUAGAACUCUGUUGUUAGUGAAGAACAAGUGCUAGAGUAACUGUUAGCGCCUUGACGGUAUCUAACCAGAAAGCCCCGGCUAACUACGUG